rnacentral:rRNA from 1 species
UACGUAGGUGACAAGCGUUGUCCGGAUUUACUGGGCGUAAAGAGCGCGCAGGCGGUCGUUCAAGUCGAGUGUGAAAGCCCCCGGCUCAACUGGGGAGGGUCAUUCGAUACUGAUCGACUCGAAGGCAGGAGAGGGUAGUGGAAUUCCCGGUGUAGUGGUGAAAUGCGUAGAUAUCGGGAGGAACACCAGUGGCGAAGGCGGCUACCUGGACAGAGUCUGACGCUGAGGCACGAAAGCUAGGGGAGCAAACAGG